CCUACGGGAGGCAGCAGUGGGGGAUAUUGCACAAUGGGGGGAACCCUGAUGCAGCGACGCCGCGUGGGUGAAGGAGUGCUUCGGCAUGUAAAGCCCUAUCGGCAGGGAAGAAGCAAGACGGUACCUGACUAAGAAGCCCCGGCUAACUACGUGCCAGCAGCCGCGGUAAUACGUCGGGGGCGAGCGUUAUCCGGAUUCACGGGGGGGAAAGGGCGCGUAGACGGGCAUGCUAGACAGGGGUGAAAGCCCGGGGGCCAACCCCGGACCUGCCCUUGGAACUGUGCGGCUAGAGUGCGGGAGGGGCAGGCGGAAUGCCUGGUGUAGCGGUGAAAUGCGUAGAUAUCAGGAGGAACACCGGCGGCGAAGGCGGCCUGCUGGACUGCGACUGACGUUGAGGCUCGAAAGCGUGGGGAGCGAACAGGAUUAGAUACCCGGGUAGUC
rnacentral:rRNA from 1 species